rnacentral:rRNA from 1 species
CCUACGGGGCGCAGCAGUGGGGGAUAUUGCACAAUGGGGGGAACCCUGAUGCAGCGACGCCGCGUGGGUGAAGGAGUGCUUCGGCAUGUAAAGCCCUAUCGGCAGGGAAGAAGCAAGACGGUACCUGACUAAGAAGCCCCGGCUAACUACGUGCCAGCAGCCGCGGUAAUACAUAGGGGGCAAGCGUUAUCCGGAAUUAUUGGGUGUAAAGGGUGCGUAGACGGAAGAACAAGUUGGUUGUGAAAUCCCUCAGCUCAACUGAGGAACUGCAACCAAAACUAUUCUCCUUGAGUGUCGGAGAGGAA